CAUAUCUUCCAGAUAAUACAGCUGCGUGAUUGCAUUUGCCAUUAGCGGGCGGCUGCGUCACCGUCCCCCUUAUUGGUUUGAAAUUCCAUUAAACAUAUUGCUCCAGCUCCCAGGUUUAAGCUUGAUUUACAUUUGCAUACAUUUUCAUACAUUUAGAAGAAAUAAAAAGAAGGCUGCGGCGGCCACCAGAAAGUCAUUAGAAGAGCGGAGAGAGAGGCACAAGCUGCGCUGACGGAGAACCGAGGCUGAGACCGGGGCGGGGGGGGGACAGAAAAGAGGCCGGAGCAGGUGCUGCCGGCAGCAGAGGCUGGUGCUGUUACAGGGUCACAGAAAGGAGCCAUGUUGGUUUUAACAACAACAAAAAAAAGGACAUAAAAGUUUACCAUCUGUUAAAUUUCAAACCGCUCACAUAAACCCAGAGCAUCCUGCACAGAGAUCACUGAAGAGGGGGAGGGGGGGAAACGUAGAGAAACAUGACGUGAGCUCUUCAGCACCUCCACCCCCCCCCCCCCCCCCCCCCCCCCCCCUCCCACACACACACACCUCCUCCUCUGCCGAGUUUGAGAAGAGGCUCGUCGCCGAGGCCUCCGGUGGCACCUCGGAGCCAAAUGAAGAAGAAGAAGAAAAAAGAGGCCAAAGUUGUUGCAAAAACUUCCCACAUGAAAUCGGCUUUCCUCCUGGAGAAAUCUCGUUCAAAAGUCAAAAGUGUGGUCGAUGUUUAAUGAAUGGCCCCGCGAGUUUCGUGCAGGAUGUGAGCAAGUUCUCUGCCACUGCUAAACAACCAGCUGACAUACUUUCCCCCUGUGGAGCAGACAAACCCACCCACACACCCACACACGCACGCACACGCACACACACGAACCGACAGGUCCCUCUGAAGGAGCAGGCGGAGCUGGCAGUUGCACAUCUGCAUUUCAAACACAGACUCUCUGGGAUUCAUUAUUAAUUAGCCUGCUGAGCCCUGGAGGACUGGUGAUGCUGCCAUCUCUCUUACACACACACACACACACACCCACACACUCACGCACGCAUACUCGCGCACUCAGAAAAACACGCUCAUAAAAUGCUCAGGCACACACACACACACCUCGUGACCCCGGUGCCCCCCUCUACACUUUAGAAAGUCCUCGGCUGAAUACCGAGCUGUGCAAGAGCGUUGCUUUUCCUCCCUCCCUCCAAUCACGUCGCAUCUUCCUAAUGCCUGCUGCAGGUGCUACAACGUCUCCGCAUCCACCUACAGGAAAUACAUGGCUGAGUCCCUGCAUCCGCCCAGCAUCCACCCGUCUGCCAUUGGAGGUACAGGUGGGCAGCGUGUGAUCUCCCAGCACACAUCAUCACCUCUCCGCCUGCUUCCCUCCGGGGCCCCGGCGCGGCCCCCAGUCAGGGUUAGAAGCUCUGGCAGCAAUUUGAAUGUAAUUGCAUAAGUGAGCAAGACACCGCCAUCAUCGCCGUCUGCCUCCGAACUCUUUCAUGUCGACUGGAAGCCGCUGCUCAGCCGUCACUUUCUAUCUCCAUCCAAGCUAAGGAAGCUAACAGCGAAGCGCUCUCACACACCGCCGCGUCCCCGUGAAGACCAGCGCCUCUCGGACCCACUGGAUCGGAUUCAGAGCGCUUCCUGGUUUUUCGAGCGCUUCCUGGUUUUUGGGGACGGCGAGCGGUGCUCCGACGACCGAGAUCCCUGCAACACAGCCCGGCCUUUGUUGGAUGCAGAGGGAAGAAUCCGGGCCAAUCGCAAGAGAUCUGCACA